GGUAGGGUUAGAGGUAGGUUUAGGGAUAUGGGUAGGGUUAAGGGUUGGGGUAGGGUUAGUGGUUGGAGUAGGGUUAGAUAUAGGGGUAGGGGUAGGGUAACCCUAACCCUAUUCCUAACCCUACCCUACCACACAUGCAUACCCUAACCCUGUACUUACCCCUAACCCUACCAUAACCCUACUCCUAACACUAACUCUGCUCCUAACCUAACCCAACCCUACCUCUAACCCUAACC